CCUACGGGCGGCAGCAGUGGGGGAUAUUGCACAAUGGGGGGAACCCUGAUGCAGCGACGCCGCGUGGGUGAAGAAGCGCCUCGGCGCGUAAAGCCCUGUCAGCAGGGAAGAAAAUGACGGUACCUGAAGCAGAAGCCCCGGCUAACUACGUGCCAGCAGCCGCGGUAAUACGUAGGGGGCAAGCGUUUUCCGGAUUUACGGGGUGUAUAGGGGGCGCAGACGGCGAUGCAAGCCAGGAGUGAAAGCCCGGGGCCCAACCCCGGAACUGCCCUUGGUACUGCGUGGCUGGAGUGCAGGAGGGGCAGGAGGAAUUCGUGGUGUAGCGGUGAAAUGCGUAGAUAUCAGGAGGAACACCGGUGGCGAAGGCGGCCUGCUGGACUGCAACUGACGUUGAGGCACGAAAGCGUGGGGAGCAAACAGGAUUAGAUACCCUUGUAGUC
rnacentral:rRNA from 1 species